rnacentral:rRNA from 1 species
GCCAGACUCCUACGGGAGGCAGCAGUGGGGAAUAUUGCACAAUGGGGGAAACCCUGAUGCAGCAACGCCGCGUGAGUGAAGAAGUCAUUCGUGAUGUAAAGCUCUCUCAGCAGGGAAGAAAGUGACAGUACCUGACUAAGAAGCCCCGGCUAACUACGUGCCAGCAGCCGCGGUAAUACGUAGGGGGCAAGCGUUAUCCGGAUUCACUGGGCGUAAAGGGAGCGCAGGCGGCACGGCAAGUCUGAUGUGAAAACCCAGGGCUCAACUCUGGGACUGCAUUGGAAACUGCCGGGCUGGAGUGUCGGAGGGGUAAGCGGAAUUCCUAGUGUAGCGGUGAAAUGCGUAGAUAUUAGGAGGAACACCAGUGGCGAAGGCGGCUUACUGGACGACUACUGACGCUGAGGCUCGAAAGCGUGGGGAGCAAACAGGAUUAGAUACCCCUGUA